rnacentral:rRNA from 1 species
AUUGAACGCUGGCGGCAUGCCUUACACAUGCAAGUCGAACGGUAACAGGUCUUCGGAUGCUGACGAGUGGCGAACGGGUGAGUAAUACAUCGGAACGUGCCUAGUAGUGGGGGAUAACUACUCGAAAGAGUGGCUAAUACCGCAUGAGAUCUACGGAUGAAAGCAGGGGAUCGCAAGACCUUGUGCUACUAGAGCGGCCGAUGGCAGAUUAGGUAGUUGGUGGGAUAAAAGCUUACCAAGCCGACGAUCUGUAGCGGGUCUGAGAGGACGGUAAGCCAGACUGGGACUGAGACACGGCCCAGACUCCUACGGGAGGCAGCAGUGGGGAAUUUUGGACAAUGGGCGAAAGCCUGAUCCAGAAAUGCCGCGUGCAGGAUGAAGGCCUUCGGGUUGUAAACUGCUUUUGUACGGAACGAAAAGCCCCGGGUUAAUACCCUGGGGUCAUGACGGUACCGUAAGAAUAAGCACCGGCUAACUACGUGCCAGCCGCCGCCGUAA